CAGGAGGCAAAACCUUCAACUGAGGACUUGGGGGAUAAGAAAGAAGGAGAAUACAUUAAACUCAAAGUUAUUGGGCAGGAUAGCAGUGAGAUUCACUUCAAAGUGAAAAUGACAACACAUCUCAAGAAACUCAAAGAAUCAUACUGUCAAAGACAGGGAGUUCCAAUGAAUUCACUCAGGUUUCUCUUUGAAGGUCAGAGAAUUGCUGAUAAUCAUACUCCAAAAGAAGUGAGUAUAAUUUUUUCCUGAAUCAAGAAAAAAUUUAAAUUCUUCUUUGAACAAUUUGGUUCAUUGAUAAUUUAUACUGCUUUUUUGUUGAAUAUUCUCUAAGUGAUAUGUAUUUGUUAGAGAAAAAAAUGUUUUUUCUUCUCAUAUAUUGCUUUCAAGAGUACCAAUAAAAGGGAGGUAGAAACUGGGAAUUGAGCACUGAAAUUGUCAUAUGGCACAUGCUACAUCUUUUUGAAGGUAGACAAGUUUUCCUCAAAUUUGGCAGAUUUCUGGUACAUUUUCAUAGUCAUGGUGACCUUAGUAGUUGGAUUUGGAUUUUUGACUCAUUUUGAGACUGUAAU